AUUGAACGCUGGCGGCAGGCCUAACACAUGCAAGUCGAGCGGAGCGGCGGACGGGUGAGGAAUACAUCGGAAUCUACUCUGUCGUGGGGGAUAACGUAGGGAAACUUACGCUAAUACCGCAUACGAUUGAAUGAGCCUAGGUCGGAUUAGCUAGUUGGUGGGGUAAAGGCCUACCAAGGCGACGAUCCGUAACUGGUCUGAGAGGAUGAUCAGUCACACUGGAACUGAGACACGGUCCAGACUCCUACGGGAGGCAGCAGUGGGGAAUAUUGGACAAUGGGCGAAAGCCUGAUCCAGCCAUGCCGCGUGUGUGAAGAAGGUCUUCGGAUUGUAAAGCACUUUAAGUUGGGAGGCGUUACCAACAGAAUAAGCACCGGCUAACUUCGUGCCAGCCGCCGCGGUAAUUC
rnacentral:rRNA from 1 species